rnacentral:rRNA from 1 species
UACCUAUAAGACUGGGAUAACUUCGGGAAACCGGAGCUAAUACCGGAUAAUAUAUUGAACCGCAUGGUUCAAUAGUGAAAGACGGUUUUGCUGUCACUUAUAGAUGGAUCCGCGCCGCAUUAGCUAGUUGGUAAGGUAACGGCUUACCAAGGCAACGAUGCGUAGCCGACCUGAGAGGGUGAUCGGCCACACUGGAACUGAGACACGGUCCAG